rnacentral:rRNA from 1 species
AGAGUUUGAUCCUGGCUCAGGACGAACGCUGGCGGCGUGCCUAAAACAUGCAAGUCGAACGGGGGUAGCAAUACCCCAGUGGCGAACGGCGGAGUAAUACAUAAGCAACGUGCCCCAAAGUCUGGGAUAUACGGCCGAAAGGCCGAGCAAUACCGGAUGUGUCGGAGAAGUGGCAUCACUUUUCCAAUAAAUGGUUUUUCGCUUUGGGAGCGGCUUAUGGCCUAUCAGGUAGUUGGGGGGGUAACGGCCCACCAAGCCGACGACGGGUAGCGGGUCUGAGAGGAUGGUCCGCUCGAGUGGGACUGAGACACGGCCCACACACCUACGGGUGGCAGCAGUUGGGAAUCUUGCACAAUGGGGGAAACCCUGAUGCAGCGACGCCGCGUGGAGGAUGAAGGGUUUAGGCCUGUAAACUCCUUUUUUCGGGAAAGACUUAGGACGGUACCCGAAGAAUAAGGACCGGCUAACUACGUGCCAGCAGCCGCGGUAAGACGUAGGGUCCAAGCGUUGUCCGGAUUUACUGGGCGUAAAGAGCGCGUAGGCGGCUCGUUAAGUGUAAAGUGAAAUCUCUGGGCUCACCCCAGAAACUGCUCUGCAUACUGGCGAGCUAGAGGGUCGAAGAGGUAUGUGGAAUUCCCGGUGUAGCGGUGAAAUGCGUUGAUAUCGGGAGGAACACCCAUGGCGAAGGCAGCAUACUGGUCGGCAUCUGACGCUGAGGCGCGAAAGCGUGGGUAGCAAACAGGAUUAGAU